GCCUGGAGGAGACCUUAUAUAGUUUUAGAGAGCUGAGGCUGUGAACUGAAGACAAGGGGAUCACAAUGGACAUGAACGGACACUGCUUUUUCCAGGGACUUGUCUUUCUCCUCUCCAUUAUCCUGGUGGAUGGCCAAGGGAGCAGACAGCUCCGCCUGGCGGACGGGGGCGGUGGCUGUGCCGGCAGAGU
rnacentral:lncRNA from 1 species